rnacentral:rRNA from 1 species
UACGUAGGGUGCAAGCGUUGUCCGGAAUUAUUGGGCGUAAAGAGCUCGUAGGCGGUCAGUCGCGUCUGCUGUGAAAACUCGGGGCUUAACUCCGGGCCUGCAGUGGGUACGGGCUGACUAGAGUGCGGUAGGGGAGACUGGAAUUCCUGGUGUAGCGGUGAAAUGCGCAGAUAUCAGGAGGAACACCGGUGGCGAAGGCGGGGUCUCUGGGCCGUAACUGACGCUGAGGAGCGAAAGCGUGGGGAGCGAACAGG